GGGCCUAUAGUCUAGUGGCAAAACGACUCGUUUACACCGAGUAGUCGGCAGUUCGAUUCUGCCUAGGCCCA
rnacentral:tRNA from 1 species